rnacentral:rRNA from 1 species
AUUGAACGCUGGCGGCAUGCCCUACACAUGCAAGUCGAACGGCAGCACGGACUUCGGUCUGGUGGUGAGUGGCGAACGGGUGAGUAAUAUAUCGGAACGUACCUUUCAGUGGGGGAUAACGUAGCGAAAGUUACGCUAAUACCGCAUAUUCUGUGAGCAGGAAAGCAGGGGAUCGCAAGACCUUGCGCUGAUUGAGCGGCCGAUAUCAGAUUAGCUAGUUGGUGAGGUAAAGGCUCACCAAGGCGACGAUCUGUAGCGGGUCUGAGAGGAUGAUCCGCCACACUGGAACUGAGACACGGUCCAGACUCCUACGGGAGGCAGCAGUGGGGAAUUUUGGACAAUGGGGGCAACCCUGAUCCAGCCAUGCCGCGUGAGUGAAGAAGGCCUUCGGGUUGUAAAGCUCUUUCGGCCGGGAAGAAAUCGUGUGGGCUAAUACCCCAUAUGGAUGACGGUACCGGAAUAAGAAGCACCGGCUAACUACGUGCCAGCAGCCGCGGUAAGAC